CAAGAUUUCUUCUUGACCAUGGAGUUCCACGGGCAUUGACAUUCUCUUGUGCCAUUUACAACUCAUUGACCUGAGGCUGCCAAGAUGUAAACUGAACAUCAGAAAGUGCCAAGAGCUCCGUAUGAAGAAUGUGGAUGUAUAUCACAACAUUGCUGUAAAGGGAAAUUCACGUGGUCCUUGGAGUCUGGAUGUGCUAUUGUCAUCUGUCUGGUCUCAUUACUGGCUGUCACAGCAUGCUCCUUACAGCAUUGCAGGAAGUUGUCACCACUACAGAGCAUGAGCAGGCUUGUCUGUUGUCACCUACCAAGAGGUCAGCGCUUUACUGAUUAGUGCUGGAAAGAUGUGUUGCUGUGCAG
ensembl:lncRNA